rnacentral:rRNA from 1 species
GACGUAGGGUGCAAGCGUUGUCCGGAAUUAUUGGGCGUAAAGCGUUCGUAGGCGGUUUGCCAAGUCUGAUGUUAAAUCCUGGAGCUCAACUCCAGUCCAGCAUCGGAAACUGGCAGGCUGGAAUAUGGUAGAGGCAGGAGAAUUCCCGGUGUAGCGGUGAAAUGCGUAGAUAUCGGGAGGAAUACCAGUGGCGAAAGCGCCUUGCUGGGCCAUUAUUGACGCUGAGGAACGAAAGCCAGGGUAGCGAAAGGG